AAAGUUUUCUUCGGAGAAUUAGUAUACUGGCGCACGGGUGAGGAAUAUAUAAGUAAUCUACCUUUAGGAAUGGAAUAACUUCGAGAAAUUGGGGCUAAUACCGUAUAACAUAGUGACACCGCAUGGUGAUGCUAUCAAAGUGAUUUAUCACACCUAGAGAUGAGCUUGUAGUCGAUUAGCUAGUUGGUAAGGUAAAGGCUUACCAAGGCGACGAUCGAUAGCUGGUCUGAGAGGAUGAUCAGCCACACUGGAACUGAGACACGGUCCAGACUCC
rnacentral:rRNA from 1 species